ensembl:lncRNA
CCUUCCUCCUGAAUCUGUCAUUUUGAUUCAGAUAACUAAAUCAGGCUAAGCACUGCAAUGAUAACGGAUGACUUGCCUCAUUAGCCGUCUCCUGCUGCUUUACUCUGUCAGGAAGCACCACUGUGACUGUCUGGAUUCCUGGGGAAGGUAGCUGGUCUUGGAAGGAUCUCAAGAGAGAAUGAGAAGAAUUCUCAACAAAAACAAUCACUAUGACCAAUUCAGAGAUGUCUCAUUGUUUCACAAUCUAUGGAAUAUACACUGAAGACUCAAAGGUUGCCUGAUACAGUACUGAGAAUGGAUGAAAAUUUGUGUGCUUAUUCAGACUUCACAUACAUUGUAAUUUGAUCUCAGGAUUUGCAACUGCAGGGGUUCAUCCCGCAAUCUGUUACUCGUGCUACAUGAGGGACACAGUUCACUUCACCUCCUCCCCCUCUCCUGACAAUGUCAACAAAAAAAAGAAGAAAAAGAGCAUAUUGGAGUGCAGGCGUGUCUCAAAGACUCUUUGAAGAUCAAGACAUAGAAUCUGAAGACUUUAUUCCUCUGAUGGGUCAGCUACUUAUUAAUAUUAAUAAAUGUGCAAUUUCAUUGAUGGUAUUCAACUUUUUUUCAUUUGGCAAGUCUUCCAUUAUGAAACCAUCACAGAGCAAUUUAUAAGCAUUAGUUCGAAUCUUCCUUCAUGAAUCACAAAUCGUCACCUUAAAGAACUCUGUAGCAGGCUCUUUUUUACAGCAAAACAGGAUUUAAAUAUCAUUAGGAGGAUCUAAGAACAGUGAAAAUUAAUUGUGAAGAAAAUAAAGGAUAUCUAGCACAAAUAAAAGGACAUACAUUAAAACAAUAAAGAAAGGAGAAACGGUUACUUGCUCAUUCCAAAGAUAUACUGCAUUCUUUAUUCUGAUUGUGGAAAAUUAGCCAUUGACUACCAGGAACAAUCGAUUUUCCUUCACAGAUGUUUUCUAAUUACAUCAGAGCACUGAAAAUUCUAGUCCACUCAGCUGUACAAGGAGUGUUUUCAAUUAAUUUUCUAAUUACAACAGGUGCCCCGUUGUCCUGCUACAGGCACGUACCAAAGAUCUCUGGUACUUGUAAACCUUGGUUUUUAGGUAUGUGGGAAGAGUUGAACAUUGUACAUUGUAACAGACUGGAGUAAAAUACAUAGGGAAACUGUCAGCACAAAUGCAGUUGAAGGACUUCUUUGUUUUCUUUCUUGGGCUGUUUGGCUCAGUACUCCUAAACUGUAGCUAUUCACUAAGUUCUCACAACUGUAAAAUUUGAUGUAAGUAUAUGUUUAAGCGUACAGUUACAUAUACAUAGUCAUACGUGUGCAUGUUUAUAUAUUUAAAUAUAUUUGCAUAUAUUGAAAAGAUAAGGGAUCACAAAUCACGUUAAGAAUCAUAGAAUCAUAGGUUUGGGUUGGAAGGGACAUUUAAUAUAGUCUAGUUCCAACACCCUGCUAUAGGCAGGGACUCCUCCCUCCAGAGCAGGUUGCUCAAAGCCCCAUCCAGCCUGGCCUUGGACGCCUUCAGGGUGGGCUCGUGCACAGCCUCUCUGGGCAAACUCUUCCAGUGUCUCACAGUGAAGAAUUUCUUCCUAAUAUUUAGUCUAAAUCUACCCUCUUCCAGUUUAAAGACAUUUCCCUUUGUCCUGUUGGUACAUGACCUUAUAAAAGUCCCUCUCCAGCUUCCCUAUAGGCCCCCUUCAGGUACUGAUGGCCGCUGUAAGGUCUCCCCAGAGCCUUCUCUUAUCCAGGCUGAACAACCCUAACUCUCCCAGUGUGUCCCUGAAGGUGAGGUGCUCCAGCCCUCUGACCAUCUUCAUGGCCCUCCUCUGCACCAACUCCAACAACUUCAAUUACUGAUGGAACUCAAUCACUCAGUGUUCUGAAAACAUUUCUGUGAAAAUAUACAAAAAGUUGAUGAUUUGUGGAAUUGAAGUUCACAAAAGGACUUGUAUUUUUGGACUUGUUCAGAUCUUGUACAUGGUUGCAAGACAAGGGUAGAAGGGAGAUUUGUUUUCUGUUUUACAUUUUAAUUACCUAACUCCCUUCAAUUCUGGGGAUUCAACAACUAUUUUGUUCUCAGAAGUCUUUUACCCUUUCACUCAAGUUGAGUGUAAUCCCACAACCCCGCAGCCUUGUACAUACUGUACUUUAUGUUCUCUACACCAUUCCCUAUGGCAAAACAGCAUGAUUCUAUUUGUCUUUUCAUCUAUUGCCAUUUCUCUUAAAUUGAAUAGAAAUACCAGCAGUAUUUAAUAGAAACAUAAAUACUCGGAUCUUAUUUUAUAGUAAAUUACAACUGAAGUUUUAAAAAUAAAGAUUCCAGCAGAUUUCCCAAAGCUCAGUCUGGGGGAAUUGUCUACAAUUCAGCAAAACAUCAGGGUAAGCACCAAGGCACACAGUUAUAAAGCUCAGAAUGAAGUUAGAGAGGGACUUGAUCUGAUCUGCCAAAUAAAAGUGUUGGGAUUCUUAGAGCUUUACUUUCCAUUUAACCUGAAACAAAGAAAAGGGUGUAUUUUAUGCCAUCAAAUGAGAAAUCCUAUUUCUAAUGACCGUAAAAGUAAACCCUAAGUUUUUGUAAGGAAUUGAAUGUAAAUAUAUUCUUUCUUAUUUGUUGAAACGUAACAGAGAAGCUAAGCAGAACUGUACCUAUAUUACUCUACUUACAGUAAGGAAUAGAACCAUUAUCAGAAAUGUUAUGUUGUGUUAGCUCCAGGACUUUUCUUUUUACAACAGAUGAUUAAUAGUGCUAAUCUCAGUUAUAUGUGAGUUUAAGAUUGAAUUUGUGGUAGUAUAUUCAACUUUAAAUAAUAUAUUGGAUUUAAUGGGUUUUUAAUAAAAUUUAGCCAUAAUGAUACAGUUUGACUAUUUUUCACUUUUCUUCCAAGUAUAGGCAUAUCUCCAAACAUAGUUUCUAAUGCAUCAUGUAAAGUAGUCCUCUGUUCUAUCUUCUUUCCUGUGGUCAUAUGCUCAUGUGACAGACUUUUUAAUUUCAUAUAGACUUCUUCCAUUUAUUCAUUAUGUCUAGAAAUGCCACUGAAAGAAGCAGGCAAAUGCUGGUUCAUAUUGUAGUUCGGUUCAAAGUAC